UUCCUACGGGGGGCUGCAGUAGGGAAUAUUGGACAAUGGGCGAAAGCCUGAUCCAGCAACGCCGCGUGCGCGAUGACGGCCUUCGGGUUGUAAAGCGCUUUUAGGAGAGAUGAGAAAGGACAGUAUCUCCAGAAUAAGCCUCGGCGAACUACGUGCCAGCAGCCGCGGUAAAACGUAGGAGGCGAGCGUUAUCCGGAUUUAUUGGGCGUAAAGCGUGUGCAGGCGGUCUAGCAAGUUGGAUGUGAAAGCUCCUGGCUUAACUGGGAGAGGUCGUUCAAAACUGCUAGACUAGAGAAUGGAAGAGGGAGGUGGAAUUCCGGGUGUAGUGGUGAAAUGCGUAGAUAUCCGGAGGAACACCAGUGGCGAAAGCGGCCUCCUAGGCCAUUUCUGACGCUAAGACACGAAAGCUAGGGUAGCAAACGGGAUUAGAUACCCUAGUAGUC
rnacentral:rRNA from 1 species